UGCGAAGGCAGCUUUCUGGGCCAUUACUGACACUGAGGAACGAAAGCAUGGGUAGCGAAGAGGAUUAGAUACCCUCGUAGUCCAUGCCGUAAACGAUGUGUGCUAGACGUUGGAAAUUUUAUUUUCAGUGUCGCAGCAAAAGCGAUAAGCACACCGCCUGGGGAGUACGACCGCAAGGUUAAAACUCAAAUGAAUUGACGGGGACCCGCACAAGUAGUGGAGCAUGUGGUUUAAUUCGAAGAUACGCGCAGAACCUUACCAACACUUGACAUGUUCGUCGCAACUCUAAGAGAUUAGAGUUUUCGGUUCGGCCGGACGAAACACAGGUGCUGCAUGGCUGUCGUCAGCUCGUGUCGUGAGAUGUUGGGUUAAGUCCCGCAACGAGCGCAACCCUCACUUUUAGUUGCUACCAUUUAGUUGGGCACUCUGAAAGAACUGCCAGUGAUAAGCUGGAGGAAGGUGGGGAUGACGUCAAGUCCUCAUGGCCCUUACGUGUUGGGCUACACACGUGCUACAAUGGCAUCUACAACAGGAAGCAAGAAUGCGAAUUUAAGCAAAUCCUUAAAAGAUGCCUCAGUUCGGAUUGUACUCUGCAACUCGAGUACAUGAAGCUGGAAUUACUAGUAAUCGCGGAUCAGCGUGCCGCGGUGAAUACGUUCCCGGGUCUUGUACACACCGCCCGUCACACCAUGGGAGUUGGUUCUACCUUAAGGCAAAAUGUUAAC
rnacentral:rRNA from 1 species